UUUCAAGUCUUUAAGAGCAAACGGUGAAUGCCUUGGCAUCUGGAGCCGAAGAAGGACGUAGCAAUCUGCGAUAAGCCUCGGGGAACUGAUAAGCGAGUUUUGAUCCGAGGGUGUCCGAAUGGGGAAACCCCGCUGGGCGGCGUGCCGACCUGGUGACUCCCGCCUGAAUAUAUAGGGCGGGUAGAGGGAACGUGGGGAAGUGAAACAUCUCAGUACCCACAGGAAGAGAAAGCAAAAGCGAUUCCGUAAGUAGUGGCGAGCGAAACCGGAAGAGGCUAAACCUAGCGUGUGUGAUAGCCGGCAGGUGUUGCACGUUGGGGGUUGCGGGACUUUUCUGAUUGUUCUGCCGAGCAGUCGACGUUACAAGUAGGUAUAGACGAACGGUUUUGAAUGGCCGGUCAUAGAGGGUGCGAACCCCGUAGUCGAAAUGCCUGUUCUUGGCGUGAGAAGUAUCCCAAGUAGCACGGGGCCCGAGAAAUCCCGUGUGAAUCUGUCAGGACCACCUGAUAAGCCUAAAUACUCCCAGAUGACCGAUAGCGGACAAGUACCGUGAGGGAAAGGUGAAAAGUACCCCGGGAGGGGAGUGAAAUAGUACCUGAAACCGUUUGCUUACAAACCGUUGGAGCCUCCUUAGUAGGGGUGACAGCGUGCCUUUUGAAGAAUGAGCCUGCGAGUUAGUGAUACGUGGCGAGGUUAACCCGUGUGGGGUAGCCGUAGCGAAAGCGAGUCUGAAUAGGGCGUUUGAGUCGCGUGUUCUAGACCCGAAGCGAAGUGAUCUAUCCAUGGCCAGGUUGAAGCGACGGUAAGACGUCGUGGAGGACCGAACCCACUUAGGUUGAAAACUGAGGGGAUGAGCUGUGGAUAGGGGUGAAAGGCCAAUCAAACUUCGUGAUAGCUGGUUCUCUCCGAAAUGCAUUUAGGUGCAGCGUUGCGUGUUUCUUGCCGGAGGUAGAGCUACUGGAUGGCCGAUGGGCCCUACAAGGUUACUGACGUCAGCCAAACUCCGAAUGCCGGUAAGUGAGAGCGCAGCAGUGAGACUGUGGGGGAUAAGCUUCAUAGUCGAGAGGGAAACAACCCAGACCACCAACUAAGGUCCCUAAGCGCGUGCUAAGUGGGAAAGGAUGUGGAGUUGCUUUGACAACCAGGAGGUUGGCUUAGAAGCAGCCACCCUUGAAAGAGUGCGUAAUAGCUCACUGGUCAAGUGAUUCCGCGCCGACAAUGUAACGGGGCUCAAGCACGCCACCGAAGUUGUGGCAUUAGCAUUUUUGGUAGGCCUUCGUGGUCCAGCCGUGUUGAUGGGUAGGAGAGCGU
rnacentral:rRNA from 1 species